rnacentral:sRNA from 1 species
UACAACGAACUGCGCAAUUUUUUGUGGCCACCCACGAUAUUAGAGUGUGGAGAAGGUCACAGAUCGAAGUUCUCGUCAUUCCAACAAACGCCCUUAGAUCAUAAGUCUAGUGGUCAUCAAGGGACGUUACCCAAGGCUAAAAAAAAAGUGUGACCUGUCCUUGUGGAGGGCGGAGUGGUCACCACGGAUGUGUGGUCAAACAGCAGGCGAGAGUUGCGUGGAAGUUCAGGAGAACAGUUUCAUUUGGACAAUCCACUGAGUUCUAAAACCAUGUCUGGAUAUUUCAACCAUUUAGGCCACCGAUAAGAGGAGGAACAAGAAGCCAGGUCCAGAAGCUCUCAAAUGGAUUACUUGUGGGAGAGUGAGAAGAAAAUGAAAGAAGAGCCAUCAGCUCAGACUACAGAACCACUGACACACCCGACUACGUCAGAAGUUACGUCCGAACAUCUAAAUGAGGUGCCUGCUGCACUUUAUUCACGGAUGCCACUGGGGAAAAAAUUUACAGGAGAAUGUGUACGCAAGAAACACAAAUUCGUCACGGUCUACUUACUGGAUGCUGACCUGUGGAGAAGGUUUAUUGACGUCGGUACGGAGAUGAUCAUUACCAAAAAGGGGAGGUAA